CAGAACCUAUUAACAUGAAAAAAAUGCAGGAUGCAGGGUGUGCUGAGCCGCUCAUUUUAAUUAACCUGUUAGCUGUGGAAACUUUGUUAUGCUUUGAUGUGAUGCUGCUUGGAUCAACGGUUAUGUUGCAAGAAGAUUGUGUUGCUGGCUGUAGUGUUGGAAUGCAUAGUUUCACCUUACUGUCAUGAACCAUGUUAAUUUCCCAUUAUUACAUGAAGGAAGGAACUUGGUAGGUUGAUGCGCGAUGGACCCGAGCCGUUAUGUAAUCACCAUGGUCUGUUUGAAUGCAACGGGUACCUCAAAGUGCCAUCUCACUUGCUGAUUUGAAAGAGUAUUGCUGCUAUUGAAAUGGUGGCGGGCGAGCAUGAAGAAGAGGAAAAGCUUGGUCUAGUAAAGUGGAGUAUGCAGUUGAUGUUAGUGCUUUUGGAAUCUUAAAUGUUAGUUUAUUGGCUUUCAAAUGUAUUCUUAUGUAAUGUGUAAAAACAGUAAGGAUUAUUAUUCACUAUGCAUUGAUUUUCAUUGAUUUGUAUUGAAUGUCAUUAUCAUGAAAGGUUGUCUUGAAUGAUUUGGAAUUAAUAGAUGGAGAACUUAAAGGAU
rnacentral:lncRNA from 1 species